rnacentral:rRNA from 1 species
UACGUAGGUGGCAAGCGUUAUCCGGAUUUAUUGGGUGUAAAGGGCGUGUAGGCGGGAGCGCAAGUCAGAUGUGAAAACUCAGGGCUCAACCCUGAGCCUGCAUUUGAAACUGUGUUUCUUGAGUGCUGGAGAGGCAAUCGGAAUUCCGUGUGUAGCUGUGAAAUGCGUAGAUAUACGGAGGAACACCAGUGGCGAAGGCGGAUUGCUGGACAGUAACUGACGCUGAGGCGCGAAAGCGUGGGGAGCAAACAGG